CGCUGUGGGCAUGCGCCGCAGCCGCUUAGGGGGAUGUCGCCUAGCUCACGUGGGCAGGCACUGCUGGCAUCCUGGCCGGCUGCGUUUGCACUGCUUCUCCAAAACCACAUUAUAGGUACUAAACAACAUUGUUUAGUACCUAUAAUGUGCUAGACUCCUGGCUGCUAGCGAGAUCAGAGGGUCAGAAGUUUUAAGGAUCAUUACACAUGGUACUCUAUGGAAAGGAUUGCCAACGCUAUGGAAGAAAACCCCAACAAAGAUAGAAAACAUCAUGAAAGUAUACAAGGACUGCACCAUUGAAAAUUGUUACAGAAAAAGUGGUGAAAGAAACCAAGCCCAAAACAAUAAAUUCCUGCUAAAGAAAAGUGUGUGUGUAUGUUGUGCAUGACCUCACAGUCUUUGUGACAGAGCUGAUAAGGGAAAUCAUGAAUGAGAUUGUUGAUAUGGCAAAAAAGGUGGGCAGUGACAGGUUUCAAGAUAUGGAUCUUAAAGAAAUUCAAGAGCUGAUUUAAGACACCACACCAGAGGAAUUAACAGAAGACAGCUUGAUGGAGUUGAGUGCUUCUGAACACUGCCAGAUGAUGAGGAAGAAGUUGUAGAAGCAGCAAUGCCAGAAAAAUUGACAUUAGAAAAUCUGGCAGAAGGGUUCUGAUUAUUCAAGACUGCUUUUGACUUCUUUUAUGACAUGGACCCUUCUAUAAUAGGGUCUCUGAAACUAAAGCAAACAGGGAAGAAGGAUUGGUGCAAUAUAGAACCAUUUUUAGAGAAAUGAAAAAGAGUAAGACAGAAAUUAUGAUGUAUUUCCAUAAAGUUAGACUGAGCGUGCCUGCCUUUCCUGCCUCCCCUUCCACCUCUUUCACCUUUGCCAUGCCUGAGGCAGCAAAACCAACCCCCUUCUUCCUCCUCCUCC
rnacentral:lncRNA from 10 species